ACCAGACUCCUACGGGAGGCAGCAGUGAGGAAUAUUGGUCAAUGGUCGGGAGACUGAACCAGCCAAGCCGCGUGAGGGAUGAAGGUACAGAGUAUCGUAAACCUCUUUUGUCAGGGAACAAAGGCGGGGACGCGUCCCCGGAUGAGUGUACCUGAAGAAAAAGCAUCGGCUAACUCCGUGCCAGCAGCCGCGGUAAUACGGAGGAUGCGAGCGUUAUCCGGAUUUAUUGGGUUUAAAGGGUGCGUAGGCGGAGUGUCAAGUCAGCGGUAAAAUUUCGGGGCUCAACCCCGGCGUGCCGUUGAAACUGACGCCCUUGAGUGAGUGAGAAGUAAGCGGAAUGCGUGGUGUAGCGGUGAAAUGCUUAGAUAUUGCGCAGAACUCCGAUUGCGAAGGCAGCAUACCGGCGGCGAUCUGACGCUGAGGCACGAAAGCGUGGGUAUCGAACAGGAUUAGAUACCCCCGUAGU
rnacentral:rRNA from 1 species